AGACCCGAAACCCGGUGAUCUAGCCAUGGGCAGGUUGAAGGUUGGGUAACACUAACUGGAGGACCGAACCGACUAAUGUUGAAAAAUUAGCGGAUGACCUGUGGCUGGGGGUGAAAGGCCAAUCAAACCGGGAGAUAGCUGGUUCUCCCCGAAAGCUAUUUAGGUAGCGCCUCGUGAAUUCAUCUCCGGGGGUAGAGCACUGUUUCGGCUAGGGGGCCAUCCCGGCUUACCAACCCGAUGCAAACUGCGAAUACCGGAGAAUGUUAUCACGGGAGACACACGGCGGGUGCUAACGUCCGUCGUGAAGAGGGAAACAACCCAGACCGCCAGCUAAGGUCCCAAAGUCAUGGUUAAGUGGGAAACGAUGUGGGAAGGCCCAGACAGCCAGGAUGUUGGCUUAGAAGCAGCCAUCAUUUAAAGAAAGCGUAAUAGCUCACUGGUCGAGUCGGCCUGCGCGGAAGAUGUAACGGGGCUAAACCAUGCACCGAAGCUGCGGCAGCGAACGUAUCACCCAAGACAACUUUACGGAGUUGACGAUUGACGGAGCGAAGCGACGUCAAAGCGUUCAUUAAAGUCGAGUUGGCUUAGGGAUACGUUCGUUGGGUAGGGGAGCGUUCUGUAAGCCUGUGAAGGUGUGUCGUGAGGCAUGCUGGAGGUAUCAGAAGUGCGAAUGCUGACAUAAGUAACGAUAAAGCGGGUGAAAAGCCCGCUCGCCGGAAGACCAAGGGUUCCUGUCCAACGUUAAUCGGGGCAGGGUGAGUCGACCCCUAAGGCGAGGCCGAAAGGCGUAGUCGAUGGGAAACGGGUUAAUAUUCCCGUACUUGGUGUUACUGCGAAGGGGGGACGGAGAAGGCUAUGUUGGCCGGGCGACGGUUGUCCCGGUUUAAGCGUGUAGGUGUGUGUUCCAGGUAAAUCCGGUUCACUUUAACACUGAGGCGUGACGACGAGGCACUACGGUGCUGAAGCAACAAAUGCCCUGCUUCCAGGAAAAGCCUCUAAGCAUCAGGUAACACGAAAUCGUACCCCAAACCGACACAGGUGGUCAGGUAGAGAAUACCAAGGCGCUUGAGAGAACUCGGGUGAAGGAACUAGGCAAAAUGGUGCCGUAACUUCGGGAGAAGGCACGCUGACACGUAGGUGAAGUGAUUUACUCAUGGAGCUGAAGUCAGUCGAAGAUACCAGCUGGCUGCAACUGUUUAUUAAAAACACAGCACUGUGCAAACACGAAAGUGGACGUAUACGGUGUGACGCCUGCCCGGUGCCGGAAGGUUAAUUGAUGGGGUCAGCGCAAGCGAAGCUCCUGAUCGAAGCCCCGGUAAACGGCGGCCGUAACUAUAACGGUCCUAAGGUAGCGAAAUUCCUUGUCGGGUAAGUUCCGACCUGCACGAAUGGCGUAAUGAUGGCCAGGCUGUCUCCACCCGAGACUCAGUGAAAUUGAACUCGCUGUGAAGAUGCAGUGUACCCGCGGCAAGACGGAAAGACCCCGUGAACCUUUACUAUAGCUUGACACUGAACAUUGAGCCUUGAUGUGUAGGAUAGGUGGGAGGCUUUGAAGUGUGGACGCCAGUCUGCAUGGAGCCGACCUUGAAAUACCACCCUUUAAUGUUUGAUGUUCUAACGUGGACCCGUAAUCCGGGUUGCGGACAGUGUCUGGUGGGUAGUUUGACUGGGGCGGUCUCCUCCUAAAGAGUAACGGAGGAGCACGAAGGUUGGCUAAUCCUGGUCGGACAUCAGGAGGUUAGUGCAAUGGCAUAAGCCAGCUUGACUGCGAGCGUGACGGCGCGAGCAGGUGCGAAAGCAGGUCAUAGUGAUCCGGUGGUUCUGAAUGGAAGGGCCAUCGCUCAACGGAUAAAAGGUACUCCGGGGAUAACAGGCUGAUACCGCCCAAGAGUUCAUAUCGACGGCGGUGUUUGGCACCUCGAUGUCGGCUCAUCACAUCCUGGGGCUGAAGUAGGUCCCAAGGGUAUGGCUGUUCGCCAUUUAAAGUGGUACGCGAGCUGGGUUUAGAACGUCGUGAGACAGUUCGGUCCCUAUCUGCCGUGGGCGCUGGAGAACUGAGGGGGGCUGCUCCUAGUACGAGAGGACCGGAGUGGACGCAUCACUGGUGUUCGGGUUGUCAUGCCAAUGGCACUGCCCGGUAGCUAAAUGCGGAAGAGAUAAGUGCUGAAAGCAUCUAAGCACGAAACUUGCCCCGAGAUGAGUUC
rnacentral:rRNA from 1 species